UGGGGAAUUUUGGACAAUGGGCGAAAGCCUGAUCCAGCAAUGCCGCGUGUGUGAAGAAGGCCUUCGGGUUGUAAAGCACUUUUGUCCGGAAAGAAAUCCUUGGCUCUAAUACAGCCGGGGGAUGACGGUACCGGAAGAAUAAGCACCGGCUAACUACGUGCCAGCAGCCGCGGUAAUACGUAGGGUGCAAGCGUUAAUCGGAAUUACUGGGCGUAAAGCGUGCGCAGGCGGUUUGCUAAGACCGAUGUGAAAUCCCCGGGCUCAACCUGGGAACUGCAUUGGUGACUGGCAGGCUAGAGUAUGGCAGAGGGGGGUAGAAUUCCACGUGUAGCAGUGAAAUGCGUAGAGAUGUGGAGGAAUACCGAUGGCGAAGGCAGCCCCCUGGGCCAAUACUGACGCUCAUGCACGAAAGCGUGGGGAGCAAACAGGAUUAGAUACCCUGGUAGUCCACGCCCUAAACGAUGUCAACUAGUUGUUGGGGAUUCAUUUCCUUAGUAACGUAGCUAACGCGUGAAGUUGACCGCCUGGGGAGUACGGUCGCAAGAUUAAAACUUAAAUGAAUUGAC
rnacentral:rRNA from 1 species